UACGUAGGGGGCAAGCGUUGUCCGGAAUCAUUGGGCGUAAAGAGCGUGUAGGCGGCCCGGUAAGUCCGUUGUGAAAGUCCAGGGCUCAACCCUGGAAAGCCGAUGGAUACUGCCGGGCUAGAGUUCGGAAGAGGCGAGUGGAAUUCCUGGUGUGGCGGUGGAAUGCGCAGAUAUCAGGAGGAACACCUAUAGCGAAGGCAGCUCGCUGGGACGACACUGACGCUGAGACGCGAAAGCGUGGGGAGCGAACAGG
rnacentral:rRNA from 1 species